UUAAUAUUUAUGAAAGAGUACUAGUUCUACCGACAGAUUAUUUAACUCAUAAGACAUUUUCUCCCAUGUUAUAAGUGAAAUAGUCUGCCAGUGGACCUAGUAAUUUUCAUCAAAUUGCUGACUGUAAGCAAGCUCCAAUAUCUUGCUGAAAAGUUUCUC